rnacentral:rRNA from 1 species
GGUUAAGCGACUAAGCGUACACGGUGGAUGCCCUGGCAGUCAGAGGCGAUGAAGGACGUGCUAAUCUGCGAUAAGCGUCGGUGAGGUGAUAUGAACCGUUAUAACCGGCGAUUUCCGAAUGGGGAAACCCAGUGUGUUUCGACACACUAUCAUUAACUGAAUCCAUAGGUUAAUGAGGCGAACCGGGGGAACUGAAACAUCUAAGUACCCCGAGGAAAAGAAAUCAACCGAGAUUCCCCCAGUAGCGGCGAGCGAACGGGGAGGAGCCCAGAGCCUGAAUCAGUGUGUGUGUUAGUGGAAGCGUCUGGAAAGGCGCGCGAUACAGGGUGACAGCCCCGUACACAAAAAUGCACAUAUUGUGAGCUCGAUGAGUAGGGCGGGACACGUGGUAUCCUGUCUGAAUAUGGGGGGACCAUCCUCCAAGGCUAAAUACUCCUGACUGACCGAUAGUGAACCAGUACCGUGAGGGAAAGGCGAAAAGAACCCCGGCGAGGGGAGUGAAAAAGAACCUGAAACCGUGUACGUACAAGCAGUGGGAGCCUCUUAAUGGGGUGACUGCGUACCUUUUGUAUAAUGGGUCAGCGACUUAUAUUCUGUAGCAAGGUUAACCGAAUAGGGGAGCCGAAGGGAAACCGAGUCUUAACUGGGCGUUAAGUUGCAGGGUAUAGACCCGAAACCCGGUGAUCUAGCCAUGGGCAGGUUGAAGGUUGGGUAACACUAACUGGAGGACCGAACCGACUAAUGUUGAAAAAUUAGCGGAUGACUUGUGGCUGGGGGUGAAAGGCCAAUCAAACCGGGAGAUAGCUGGUUCUCCCCGAAAGCUAUUUAGGUAGCGCCUCGUGAAUUCAUCUCCGGGGGUAGAGCACUGUUUCGGCAAGGGGGUCAUCCCGACUUACCAACCCGAUGCAAACUGCGAAUACCGGAGAAUGUUAUCACGGGAGACACACGGCGGGUGCUAACGUCCGUCGUGAAGAGGGAAACAACCCAGACCGCCAGCUAAGGUCCCAAAGUCAUGGUUAAGUGGGAAACGAUGUGGGAAGGCCCAGACAGCCAGGAUGUUGGCUUAGAAGCAGCCAUCAUUUAAAGAAAGCGUAAUAGCUCACUGGUCGAGUCGGCCUGCGCGGAAGAUGUAACGGGGCUAAACCAUGCACCGAAGCUGCGGCAGCGACACUAUGUGUUGUUGGGUAGGGGAGCGUUCUGUAAGCCUGUGAAGGUGGCCUGUGAGGGUUGCUGGAGGUAUCAGAAGUGCGAAUGCUGACAUAAGUAACGAUAAAGCGGGUGAAAAGCCCGCUCGCCGGAAGACCAAGGGUUCCUGUCCAACGUUAAUCGGGGCAGGGUGAGUCGACCCCUAAGGCGAGGCCGAAAGGCGUAGUCGAUGGGAAACAGGUUAAUAUUCCUGUACUUGGUGUUACUGCGAAGGGGGGACGGAGAAGGCUAUGUUGGCCGGGCGACGGUUGUCCCGGUUUAAGCGUGUAGGCUGGUUUUCCAGGCAAAUCCGGAAAAUCAAGGCUGAGGCGUGAUGACGAGGCACUACGGUGCUGAAGCGACAAAUGCCCUGCUUCCAGGAAAAGCCUCUAAGCAUCAGGUAACAUCAAAUCGUACCCCAAACCGACACAGGUGGUCAGGUAGAGAAUACCAAGGCGCUUGAGAGAACUCGGGUGAAGGAACUAGGCAAAAUGGUGCCGUAACUUCGGGAGAAGGCACGCUGAUAUGUAGGUGAAGCGACUUGCUCGUGGAGCUGAAAUCAGUCGAAGAUACCAGCUGGCUGCAACUGUUUAUUAAAAACACAG